UCGUCUCGGGCUUGACUGUGCUGCCUCGUCUCGGGCUUGACUGUGCUGCCUCGUCUCGGGCUUGACUGUGCUGCCUCGUCUCGGGCUUUGGGUAGCAUUGUCUGCAGUAAGGUGUCAUGAGAAUGAUCCCUUAAAAUAAUCACUGAUCUGACAUGAGUAGAAGAGUGUACUACUGGAAGAUUUCCAUUGCAUUGCUUUCACAAUUAUUUCUUGUCAGAGGUGUGGAAGGAAUCAUGCAGUUUUCACCAUGCAAAUAAAUCUCUGGCUCCUAGAUUCUCUCUAGUUUAGGUAACAACGUGUCUCUGGCUCCUAGAUUCUCUCUAGUUUAGGUAACAACGUGUCUCUGGCUCCUAGAUUAUCUCUAGUUUAGGUAACAACGCGUCUCUGGCUCCUAGAUUCUCUCUAGUUUAGGUAACAACGUGUCUCUGGCUCCUAGAUUCUCUCUAGUUUAGGUAACAACGUGUCUCUGGCUCCUAGAUUCUCUCUAGUUUAGGUAACAACGUGUCUCUGGCUCCUAGAUUCUCUCUAGUUUAGGUAACAACGCGUCUCUGGCUCCUAGAUUCUCUCUAGUUUAGGUAACAACGCGUCUCUGGCUCCUAGAUUCUCUCUAGUUUAGGUAACAACGUGUCUCUGGCUCCUAGAUUCUCUCUAGUUUAGGUAACAACGUGUCUCUGGCUCCUAGAUUCUCUCUAGUUUAGGUAACAACGUGUCUCUGGCUCCUAGAUUCUCUCUAGUUUAGGUAACAACGUGUCUCUGGCUCCUAGAUUCUCUCUAGUUUAGGUAACAACGUGUCUCUGGCUCCUAGAUUCUCUCUAGUUUAGGUAACAACGUGUCUCUGGCUCCUAGAUUCUCUCUAGUUUAGGUAACAACGCGUCUCUGGCUCCUAGAUUCUCUCUAGUUUAGGUAACAACGCGUCUCUGGCUCCUAGAUUCUCUCUAGUUUAGGUAACAACGUGUCUCUGGCUCCUAGAUUCUCUCUAGUUUAGGUAACAACGUGUCUCUGGCUCCUAGAUUCUCUCUAGUUUAGGUAACAACGUGUCUCUGGCUCCUAGAUUCUCUCUAGUUUAGGUAACAACGUGUCUCUGGCUCCUAGAUUCUCUCUAGUUUAGGUAACAACGCGUCUCUGGCUCCUAGAUUCUCUCU